UUGCUCAAUUUUGCAGCACACAUACUAAAAUUGAAAUGAUAUAGAGAAGAUUAGCAUAGCCCCUGCUCAAGGAUGACAAUCAAAUUGGUGAAGCAUUCCACAUUAUU